rnacentral:rRNA from 1 species
UGGGGAAUAUUGGACAAUGGGCGCAAGCCUGAUCCAGCCAUGCCGCGUGGGUGAAGAAGGCCUUCGGGUUGUAAAGCCCUUUUGUCCGGAAAGAAAAGCUGCCGGUUAAUACCCGGCGGUCAUGACGGUACCGGAAGAAUAAGCACCGGCUAACUUCGUGCCAGCAGCCGCGGUAAUACGAAGGGUGCAAGCGUUACUCGGAAUUACUGGGCGUAAAGCGUGCGUAGGUGGUUCGUUAAGUCCGUCGUGAAAUCCCCGGGCUCAACCUGGGAAUGGCGAUGGAUACUGGCGGGCUAGAGUGCGGUAGAGGAGAGUGGAAUUCCCGGUGUAGCAGUGAAAUGCGUAGAGAUCGGGAGGAACAUCAGUUGCGAAGGCGGCUCUCUGGACCAGCACUGACACUGAGGCACGAAAGCGUGGGGAGCAAACAGGAUUAGAUACCCUGGUAGUCCACGCCCUAAACGAUGCGAACUGGACGUUGGAUGCAACUAGGCAUUCAGUGUCGAAGCUAACGCGUUAAGUUCGCCGCCUGGGGAGUACGGUCGCAAGACUG